rnacentral:misc_RNA from 1 species
UGAACAAACUGGACGAGCUUACGUCCUCUCAGGUUUGAGCUCACAUUCUUGGCAAAGAGCGACAACUAGAGGAGACACGACAUCACAAAUAUUACUGCAAGGUGGUAGCUCAAGCAAUAGUGGCGCCACCAUGUAUGAAACUCCAUCUAUGGUCAGCAUGAUCUCAAAGUCACAGAACCUAAGUCUUGUUAAUCGAUCUGAACAAGUUCCGCGCCCCAACAAGUCAAGCAACUUACCUCCUCCACCAUCCUAGCAAACAUUUCUGACCUCAUUCGUUCUCAGUGUGAUAGGCAAUUGAACACAGCACCACUCUUUUAGUGAUCAAAUUCUGUGGCAUUUGACUCUGCUAUACUUUUUGUUUUUUGGUUCCAUUUAUUUGUUUCUUUUAGUUCUUCAAGGAUCAUUUGCAUAUCAGAUUCUUUUAGAGACCAACAACUCUGCAUAUUGUAAUAAUA